UAUUCAGAUACUGAUUUUCAAGUUUUAUACACAAGUUGAAAGAGUGUGUUUGCUGCAAAAAUGUUACUUACAGUUGACUAUUCAGUCUCAUUUUUGAAGGAACCAGGUGUUUAGGCUGUUUAGUGUCUGUUGUUUGAUUAUCACUCAGAACUUUUACAGCAUCAUUGUAUUCCUGUGAAUUUGGACGUUUGAAAUCAGAAGAAAAAGAACAGUUUCCACUUGAUUUCUAAGAAUCCUUGUGUAUUGGAAAGUGUUUAUGUCCCUUCUGAAACACUUUUUUUUGCUUUGAACGAUUUGUUAUGAAACUUCGACGAGAAUAAACCAUUUUAAAUUAGAAACGACUAUCACUUUUUCAACUUGUUUGUAUGAAAUGGAAAGGAAUUUAUGAUGGGUCAAUUUGACAAAGUAGAGUGCAAUAAGAAUUAAAAAUAGAAGGGAUACAGUUUCAACAUCUCUGAAUCAUAUGUUUUGAUAGAUUUGGAACUUUAUGUCCUGUGCUGAGUCAUCUUAAAGAGGUUGAUAGAUGCUGUCAAAAUAUUUACUAAUUACCUCCCUUUGACUGUCAUAUAUUAAAUCUAACAUAAUAAAUCAAUGUGAGGUAUAUGAAUGUAACAUUAUAUAACACAAAAAGCAAUUUAUUUUUUAGUUCAAUGGACUUUUUUUAACAUAUGGGUACAUGCCUUGGAUAAAAUUAUACUUUUAUUACAUAUUUUGAACUGAAAAUCUCUGGAAAUUUGAAAAGUGGGGUAAUAUUUUUUAUAUUUUUUCAUAGACAUGUAAUGUUCUUGGCCUUUUUACAUGUUUUCUUUUAAUAAAAUUUACUACAUAAU